rnacentral:rRNA from 1 species
AUUCCUACGGGGCGCAGCAGUGGGGAAUAUUGCACAAUGGGGGAAACCCUGAUGCAGCAACGCCGCGUGAGUGAUGACGGCCUUCGGGUUGUAAAGCUCUGUCUUCAGGGACGAUAAUGACGGUACCUGAGGAGGAAGCCACGGCUAACUACGUGCCAGCAGCCGCGGUAAUACGUAGGUGGCGAGCGUUGUCCGGAUUUACUGGGCGUAAAGGGAGCGUGGGCGGAUUUUAAAGUGAGAUGUGAAAUACUCGGGCUCAACUUGAGUGCUGCAUUGCAAACUGGUAGUCUAGAGGUCAGGAGAGG